CUUGCUUCUCUUGAGAGCGGCGGACGGGUGAGUAAUGCCUAGGAAUCUGCCUGGUAGUGGGGGAUAACGUCCGGAAACGGACGCUAAUACCGCAUACGUCCUACGGGAGAAAGCAGGGGACCUUCGGGCCUUGCGCUAUCAGAUGAGCCUAGGUCGGAUUAGCUAGUUGGUGGGGUAAUGGCUCACCAAGGCGACGAUCCGUAACUGGUCUGAGAGGAUGAUCAGUCACACUGGAACUGAGACACGGUCCAGACUCCUACGGGAGGCAGCAGUGGGGAAUAUUGGACAAUGGGCGAAAGCCUGAUCCAGCCAUGCCGCGUGUGUGAAGAAGGUCUUCGGAUUGUAAAGCACUUUAAGUUGGGAGGAAGGGCAGUAAAUUAAUACUUUGCUGUUUUGACGUUACCGACAGAAUAAGCACCGGCUAACUCUGUGCCAGCAGCCGCGGUAAUACAGAGGGUGCAAGCGUUAAUCGGAAUUACUGGGCGUAAAGCGCGCGUAGGUGGUUCGUUAAGUUGGAUGUGAAAUCCCCGGGCUCAACCUGGGAACUGCAUUCAAAACUGACGAGCUAGAGUAUGGUAGAGGGUGGUGGAAUUUCCUGUGUAGCGGUGAAAUGCGUAGAUAUAGGAAGGAACACCAGUGGCGAAGGCGACCACCUGGACUGAUACUGACACUGAGGUGCGAAAGCGUGGGGGAGCAAACAGG
rnacentral:rRNA from 1 species